AUGCUGGGGACCCUCUGCACUCUCAUCACUGCUCUAACAUGUGUGAGUGGUGCGACGGUGGUGACACAGAAGCCUCCUGUUUUGACGGUUAGGAAAGGAGAGACAGCCACCAUGGACUGUAACCUGGGGACAGUUACUAACAGUGCUGCUCGCUGGUAUAGACAGACUCCUGGAGGAGUUCCUCAGUUUGUGCUGUACUUUUAUCAUCCUAAUAGUUCUCCAACAUAUGGCUCUGGUUUCUCCUCUCCCAAAUUCACUUCUAAUCAUCAGUCAACAUCAGAUUAUCGUUUGAUCAUCAACAAUGUGGAGGAGGGAGACUCAGCAGUCUAUUACUGUCACACAUGGGACAGCUCUGCUAAGGAGGAAGUAUCACAGUGA